rnacentral:rRNA from 1 species
CCCUUAGAUGUUCUGGGCCGCACGCGCGCUACACUGAUGCAUUCAACGAGUUUCUUCCUGGUCCGAGAGGAAUGGGUAACCUUUUGAAAGUGCAUCGUGAUAGGGAUAGACUAUUGCAAUUAUUGGUCUUCAACGAGGAAUUCCUAGUAGACGUAGUUCAUCAGACUGCAUCGAUUACGUCCCUGCCCUUUGUACACACCGCUCGUCGCUCCUACCGAUUGAAUGCUCAGGUGAGCCAUUCGGACUUUCAUCAUGCUGGUUUCCAGUUUUGAUGAAGGAAAGUCUUGCGAACCUUAUCAUUUAGAGGAAGGAGAAGUCGUAACA